AAAAUACCAACAAGUAUUUCUCCAACCAAAAUACCACUGCUAUUAAGUGUUCUCUCUCACCGUCUCCGUCUCCACUGAAUCAACCUCUCUCUCACCAUCUCCGUCUACCUCUUGGCGUUCUUUGUAUCCCUCUCGACUUUCUACCAGCGAGUUUCGCUUAAAAUAUCACUUAAGCGCCGACGUCGGUCUCUCUACCGGACCAAACUAUCUCUCUCAACGAACUCAGGCUCCCUCUGUGUAGCUCUCGCCUGAAAUCUCGCUCAGCCUCACUCUCGUCUCUCUCAGCCAUUUCCCCCAUGGAUGCACUGCAACUGCAGAGUAUAUGAUUAUCACUUACCAGNUAAUAAUUGCUAUUAUUCUUAUCUUUUGCUAUUUUAAUCAAAAGUAAAAGAAAAGAAAAGUAUGUGAUAUCAUUCUUAAGAAUGAAGAAUCACGUAGCAAUUGUAGAAAAUUUGAGAAAGAGAGAAAUUGAGAAAGAAAGAGAUUGAGAGUGUUUGUUCAUUGGAGUUGAGAUAGGAUUCGAAGAUCGUUGCCAUCCAACGUCGAAUCUUGCCGUGGGAACAAUUCGGAAGAUCAACUCUGGAGUCGAUCACUUCUCAUUUCGCAGGUAUACUUCUUUUACCACCUUGUAGGAUUAUGGUUUUUGUAUGUACUUGUUAGAUAUCCGAAAUGGAUCGUGGGCACACGAACCGUAUAUCAAAAUAUGGUUCCUACACCGUCUCCGUCUACCUCUUGGUGUUCUCUGUCUCCCUCUCGGUUCUCUACCGGCGAGAUUCUCUCCGUCUCCCUCUCAACUUUCUACCGGCGAGUUUCACUUAAAAUAUCACUUAAGCGCCGAUGUCGGUCUCUCUAUCGGACCAAACUAUCUCUCUCAACGAACUCAGGCUCCCUCUGUGUAGCUCUCGCCUAAAAUCUCGCUAAGCCUCACUCUCGUCUCUCUCAGCCAUGUCCCCCAUGGAUGCACCGCAAGAGGUAUAUGAUUAUUACUUACCAGAUUUUAGGCAUUUUCCUACCAAAUCUCUCACAAAAAAAGAGAAUAACAUCGGAAAUAAUUCGAAUACCAUCGUCGAAAAAUGAGAAUACCGUCGUGGUGUUUGAUUAUACAGUCACAAUAGUUGAGAAUAUCGAUCGGCGGUAUUCGCAUUAUUCCCGACGGUAUUCUCAUUUUUCCUGGCGCUAUUCACAUUAUUCCCGUCGGUAUUCUCAUUUUUUCUGGCGGUAGUCGCAUCAUUUCCGGUGGUAUUCGUGUGAUAUUAGUAUUGCUUGUUUUAUGCUAAAAAUUUUUAUUAUUUUUUAUAAAUAACCAAAUAAUUGUUGUUGUUUAUUACCGGCGGUAUUCAUGUGAUCUUAUUAUUAAUUCGUGUAAUAAACAACCAAAU
rnacentral:lncRNA from 1 species